GAUGAACGCUGGCGGCGUGCCUAAUACAUGCAAGUCGAGCGAACAGAUAAGGAGCUUGCUCCUUUGACGUUAGCGGCGGACGGGUGAGUAACACGUGGGUCACCUCCCUAUAAGACUGGGAUCACUUCGGGAAACCGGAGCUAAUACCGGAUAAUAUUUUGCACCGCAUGGUUCGAUAGUGAAAGAUGGUUUUGCUAUCACUUAUCGAUGGACCCGCGCCGUAUUAGCUAGUUGGUAAGGUAACGGCUUACCAAGGCGACGAUACGUAGCCGACCUGAGAGGGUGAUCGGCCACACGGGAACUGAGACACGGUCCAGACGCCUACGGGAGGCAGCAGUAGGGAAUCGUCCGCAAUGGGCGAAAGCCUGACGGAGCAACGCCGCGUGAGUGAUGAAGGUCUUCGGAUCGUAAAACUCUGUUAUUAGGGAAGAACAUACGUGUAAGUAACUGUGCACGUCUUGACGGUACCUAAUCAGAAGGCCACGGUUAACUACGUG
rnacentral:rRNA from 1 species